rnacentral:rRNA from 1 species
UGCAAGUCGAGCGAUCCGGCACUCAACUAAGCGCUUACAGAAAAAAGACAGCAAAGAAAAAGAAAGCAGAAAAAGAGAGAAAUAAGAGUAAACGCGGAGUUGAGUGCCGGAUAGCGGCGGACGGGUGAGUAACGCGUGGACAAUCUACCCUGUAGACUGGGAUAACACCUCGAAAGGGGUGCUAAUACCGGAUAAUGUCAAGGGAUGGCAUCAUUUCUUGAAGAAAGGAGAAAUCCGCUAUAGGAUGAGUUCGCGUCCCAUUAGCUAGUUGGCGGGGUAAAAGCCCACCAAGGCGACGAUGGGUAGCCGGCCUGAGAGGGUGAACGGCCACACUGGAACUGAGACACGGUCCAGACUCCUACGGGAGGCAGCAGUGGGGAAUAUUGUGCAAUGGGGGAAACCCUGACACAGCGACGCCGCGUGAGCGAAGAAGGCCUUCGGGUCGUAAAGCUCAAUAGUAUGGGAAGAUAAUGACGGUACCAUACGAAAGCCCCGGCUAACUACGUGCCAGCAGCCGCGGUAAUACGUAGGGGGCGAGCGUUGUCCGGAAUUACUGGGCGUAAAGAGCACGUAGGCGGCUAUAAAAGUCAGAUGUGAAAAACCUGGGCUCAACCGAGGGUAUGCAUCUGAAACUAAAUAGCUUGAGUCAAGGAGAGGAGAGCGGAAUUCCUGGUGUAGCGGUGAAAUGCGUAGAGAUCAGGAAGAAUACCAGUGGCGAAAGCGGCUCUCUGGACUUGAACUGACGCUGA